UUCCGGUUGAUCCUGCCGGACCUGACUGCUAUCGGAUUGAUACUAAGCCAUGCGAGUCAUUGUAGCAAUACAAGGCAUACGGCUCAACAACGCGUAGUCAACCUAACCUAUGGACGGGAAUAACCUCGGGAAACUGAGAAUAAUGCCCGAUAGAACACUAUACCUGGAAUGGUUUGUGUUCCAAAUGAUUUAUCGCCGUAGGAUGGGACUGCGGCCUAUCAGUUUGUUGGUGAGGUAAUGGCCCACCAAGACUAUUACAGGUACGGGCUCUGAGAGGAGUAGCCCGGAGAUGGGUACUGAGACACGGACCCAGGCCCUAUGGGGCGCAGCAGGCGAGAAAACUUUGCAAUGUGCGAAAGCACGACAAGGUUAAUCCGAGUGGUUUCUGCUAAAGGAACCUUUUGUUAGUCCUAGAAACACUAACGAAUAAGGGGUGGGCAAGUUCUGGUGUCAGCCGCCGCGGUAAAACCAGCACCUCAAGUGGUCAGGAUGAUUAUUGGGCCUAAAGCAUCCGUAGCCGGCUCUGUAAGUUUUCGGUUAAAUCUGUACGCUUAACGUACAGGCUGCCGGGAAUACUGCAUAGCUAGGGAGUGGGAGAGGUAGACGGUACUCGGUAGGAAGGGGUAAAAUCCUUUGAUCUAUUGAUGGCCACCUGUGGCGAAGGCGGCCUACCAGAACACGUC
rnacentral:rRNA from 1 species